rnacentral:rRNA from 1 species
AGUCGUAACAAGGUUUCCGUAGGUGAACCUGCGGAAGGAUCAUUAAAGAGACGUUGCCCUUCGGGGUAUACCUCCCACCCAUUGUUUAUUAUACCUUUGUUGCUUUGGCAGACCCGGCUUCGGCCCACCGGCUCCGGCUGGUCAGUGUCCGCCAGAGGACCUAAAACUCUGUUUGUUAAUAUUGUCUGAGUACUAUAUAAUAGUUAAAACUUUCAACAACGGAUCUCUUGGUUCUGGCAUCGAUGAAGAACGCAGCGAAAUGCGAUAAGUAAUGUGAAUUGCAGAAUUCAGUGAAUCAUCGAAUCUUUGAACGCACAUUGCGCCCCGUGGUAUUCCGCGGGGCAUGCCUGUUCGAGCGUCAUUUAGACCAAUCAUGCCUGGCAUGGUGUUGGGGCACGCGGUUUCGCGGCCCUCAAAAUCAGUGGCAUCGCCGGAAGGUACUAAGCGUAGUAAUUACUAAGAGCUUAUUGUUAUCUUUUGGACGGUCGCCAACAACCCCCAAUUUUUAAAGGUUGACCUCGGAUCAGGUAGGGAUACCCGCUGAACUUAAGCAUAUCAAUAAGCGGAGGAAAAGAAACCAACAGGGAUUACCUCAGUAACGGCGAGUGAAGCGGUAACAGCUCAAAUUUGAAAGCUCCUAACAAGGCGCAUUGUAAUUUGUAGAAGAUGCUUUGGGUGUCGGCCCAGUCUAAGUUCCUUGGAACAGGACGUCAUAGAGGGUGAGAAUCCCGUAUGUGAUUGGUGCCGUUGCCCGUGUAAAGCUCUUUCGACGAGUCGAGUUGUUUGGGAAUGCAGCUCAAAAUGGGUGGUAUAUUUCAUCUAAAGCUAAAUAUUGGCCAGAGACCGAUAGCGCACAAGUAGAGUGAUCGAAAGAUGAAAAGCACUUUGGAAAGAGAGUUAAACAGUACGUGAAAUUGUUGAAAGGGAAGCGCUUGCAACCAGACUUGCAGGCGGUCAAUCAUCCGGGGUUCUCUCCGGUGCACUUGAUCGUCUUCAGGCCAGCAUCGGUUUUGGUGGUGGGAUAAAGGCUCAGGGAAUGUGGCUCUUCGGAGUGUUAUAGCCCUGGGUGCAAUGCCGCCUACCGGGACCGAGGACCGCGCUUCGGCUAGGAUGCUGGCGUAAUGGUUGUAAGCGACC